AUUGAACGCUGGCGGCAUGCCUUACACAUGCAAGUCGAACGGUAACAGGUCUUCGGAUGCUGACGAGUGGCGAACGGGUGAGUAAUACAUCGGAACGUGCCGAUCGGGGGGGAUAACGCAGCGAAAGCUGUGCUAAUACCGCAUACGAUCUACGGAUGAAAGGGGGGGAUCGCAAGACCUCGCGCGGACGGAGCGGCCGAUGGCAGAUUAGGUAGUUGGUGGGAUAAAAGCUUACCAAGCCGACGAUCUGUAGCUGGUCUGAGAGGACGACCAGCCACACUGGGACUGAGACACGGCCCAGACUCCUACGGGAGGCAGCAGUGGGGAAUUUUGGACAAUGGGCGCAAGCCUGAUCCAGCCAUGCCGCGUGCAGGAUGAAGGCCUUCGGGUUGUAAACUGCUUUUGUACGGAACGAAAAAGCUCUCUCUAAUACAGGGGGUGAAUGACGGUACCGUAAGAAUAAGCACCGGCUAACUACGUG
rnacentral:rRNA from 1 species